rnacentral:rRNA from 1 species
AGUGGCGGACGGGUGAGUAACGCGUGAGAAUCUACCUUCAGGACGGGGACAACAGCUGGAAACGGCUGCUAAUACCCGAUAUGCCGAAAGGUGAAAAGUUUUUUCGUCUGGAGAGGAGCUCGCGUCCGAUUAGCUAGUUGGUGAGGUAAAAGCUUACCAAGGCGACGAUCGGUAGCUGGUCUGAGAGGAUGAGCAGCCACGCUGGAACUGAGACACGGUCCAGACUCCUACGGGAGGCAGCAGUGGGGAAUUUUCCGCAAUGGGCGAAAGCCUGACGGAGCAACGCCGCGUGGGGGAAGAAGGUUUUUGGAUUGUAAACCCCUUUUCUCAAGGAAGAACAAAAUGACGGUACUUGAGGAAUCAGCCUCGGCUAACUCCGUGCCAGCAGCCGCGGUAAUACGGAGGAGGCAAGCGUUAUCCGGAAUUAUUGGGCGUAAAGCGUUCGUAGGCGGCUGUUCAAGUCUGCUGUCAAAGACCGAGGCUCAACCUCGGGUAGGCAGUGGAAACUGGAUAGCUAGAGGUCGGUAGGGGCAGAGGGAAUUCCCAGUGUAGCGGUGAAAUGCGUAGAUAUUGGGAAGAACACCGGUGGCGAAAGCGCUCUGCUGGGCCGAACCUGACGCUGAGGGACGAAAGCUAGGGGAGCGAAUGGGAUUAGAUACCCC